rnacentral:misc_RNA from 1 species
GAUGAAGAACGCAGCGAAAUGCGAUAAGUAAUGCGAAUUGCAGAAUUCAGUGAGUCAUCGAAUCUUUGAACGCACAUUGCGCCCUGUGGUAUUCCGCAGGGCAUGCCUGUUCGAGCGUCAUUUCAACCCUCAAGCCCCGCUUGGUGUUGGGCCCUGCCCGCUGUGGCCGGCCCUAAAGACAGUGGCGGCGCCGCCUGGCCCUCAGCGUAGUACAUCUCUCGCUCCAGGGUCCGGUGGCCGCCUGCCAGAACCCCCCAACUCUGUGGUUGACCUCGGAUCAGGUAGGGAUACCCGCUGAACUUAAGCAUAUCAAUAAGCGGAGGA